rnacentral:rRNA from 1 species
GAGUUUGAUCAUGGCUCAGAACGUACGCUGGCGGCACGCCUAACACAUGCAAGUCGAACGAAGUAGCAAUACUUAGUGGCAGACGGGUGAGUAACAUGUAGGUAUCUGCCCUUUGGCCUGGAAUAACACGAGGAAACUUGUGCUAAUACCGGAUAAGUCUUUACGGAGAAAGCUUUAUGCACCAUUGGAUGAGCCUGCACUUGAUUAGUUUGUUGGUGGGGUAAUGGCCUACCAAGACUGUGAUCAAUAGCUGAUUUGAGAGGAUGAUCAGCCACAUUGGGACUGAGACACGGCCCAAACUCCUACGGGAGGCAGCAGUGGGGAAUCUUGCACAAUGGAGGAAACUCUGAUGCAGCGAUGCCGCGUGAGUGAAGAAGGCCCUUGGGUUGUAAAGCUCUUUCGUCGGGGAAGAAAAUGACUGUACCCGAAUAAGAAGGUCCGGCUAACUUCGUGCCAGCAGCCGCGGUAAUACGAAGGGACCUAGCGUAGUUCGGAAUUACUGGGCUUAAAGAGUUCGUAGGUGGUUAAAAAAGUUGAUGGUGAAAUCCCAAGGCUCAACCUUGGAACUGCCAUCAAAACUUUUUAGCUAGAGUAUGAUAGAGGAAAGUGGAAUUUCUAGUGUAGAGGUGAAAUUCGUAGAUAUUAGAAAGAAUACCAAUUGCGAAGGCAGCUUUCUGGAUCAUUACUGACACUGAGGAACGAAAGCAUGGGUAGCGAAGAGGAUUAGAUACCCUCGUAGUCCAUGCCGUAAACGAUGUGUGUUAGACGUUGGAAAUUUAUUUUCAGUGUCGCAGCGAAAGCGAUAAACACACCGCCUGGGGAGUACGACCGCAAGGUUAAAACUCAAAUGAAUUGACGGGGACCCGCACAAGUAGUGGAGCAUGUGGUUUAAUUCGAAGAUACGCGCAGAACCUUACCAACACUUGACAUGUUCGUCGCGACUCUAAGAGAUUAGAGUUUUCGGUUCGGCCGGACGAAACACAGGUGCUGCAUGGCUGUCGUCAGCUCGUGUCGUGAGAUGUUGGGUUAAGUCCCGCAACGAGCGCAACCCUCACUUUUAGUUGCCAUCAUUAAGUUGGGCACUCUGAAAGAACUGCCAGUGAUAAGCUGGAGGAAGGUGGGGAUGACGUCAAGUCCUCAUGGCCCUUACGUGUUGGGCUACACACGUGCUACAAUGGUAUCUACAACAGGAAGCAAGACUGCGAGGUCAAGCAAAUCCUUAAAAGAUACCUCAGUUCGGAUUGCACUCUGCAACUCGAGUGCAUGAAGCUGGAAUUACUAGUAAUCGUGGAUCAGCGUGCCACGGUGAAUGCGUUCCCGGGUCUUGUACACACCGCCCGUCACACCAUGGGAGUUGGUUCUACCUUAAGGCAA